rnacentral:rRNA from 1 species
GACAGAGGUGGCGAGCGUUGUUCGGAAUUAUUGGGCGUAAAGCGCGUGUAGGCGGCGAUUUAAGUCGGGUGUGAAAGCCCUCAGCUCAACUGAGGAAGGGCGCCCGAGACUGAAUGGCUUGAGUGCCGAAGAGGGUGGCGGAAUUCCCCAAGUAGAGGUGAAAUUCGUAGAGAUGGGGAGGAACACCGGAGGCGAAGGCGGCCACCUGGGAGGUAACUGACGCUGAGACGCGAAAGCGUGGGGAGCAAACAGG